rnacentral:lncRNA from 1 species
UACAGUUGCUAUUAAAGCUGACCUGAUCUUUUUGACUUGAUCUUCUAAAGCCUAAAUCUGGAUUUACAUAAUAGAUGGUGCCCUGGGCUGGCUGUAGAGCUUCCUUUUUGGGGGAAAAAGCUUCACUCAAGUAGUUUUAUGUCUAACUAACCAGCAUGUUAGUUAGUUAAUCUAACUAACCAGCGUGUUAGUUAAUCUGGGGAUUA